GUCCUCAGCUCUUAACACAGGGGCCCCCCAGGGGUGUGUCCUCAGCUCUUAACACAGGGGUCCCCCAGGGGUGUGUCCUCAGCUCUUAACACAGGGGUCCCCCAGGGGUGUGUCCUCAGCUCUUAACACAGGGGCCCCCCAGGGGUGUGUCCUCAGCCCUCUGCUGAUCCACUAGUUCUUCAGCGUCCACAUCACAGAGGACUUGACAUGGACCAACACCACCACCACUCUAGUCAAGACAGCGUAACGGUGUCUCUACUUCCUAAGGCGGCUGUAGAAAUUCGACGUGCCACCCGGGGUCGUCUCCAAAUAUUACCGUUGCACCAUCGAGUGUCCUGACCGGUUGCAUUACAGCCCGGUUACGGGAAUUGUUCCGUCCACGACCGAAAGGCCCUCCAGCGGGGGGUGAAGACGGCCCAGUACAUCACUGGGAUUGUGCUCCCAUCCAUCCAGGACAUCUACUGGAAACGGUACCUGAUGAAGUCCCGCAGCAUCAUCAAGGACCCCACACACCCCAACAUGAGGUCACUUCCUGCCAUGAGCUGUUCAUUCCCUUACUGUUGGGCAGACGGUAUCAGAGCAUGAGGUCUGAUACCAACAGGUUCAGAGACAGUUUCUAUCUACAAGCCAUCAGACUGUAUCAGAGCAUGAGGUCUGAUACCAACAGGUUCAGAGACAGUUUCUAUCUACAAGCCAUCAGACUGCUGAACACUUGAACA
rnacentral:lncRNA from 1 species